rnacentral:rRNA from 1 species
CAAUAGCGUAUAUUAAAGUUGUUGCAGUUAAAAAGCUCGUAGUUGGAUUUGUGGCGUACGGUGUGUUCCGGGCACUUGUUGUCUGAGUAACCUGCUGUUGCCAUCCCUGGGUGGAACCUGUGUGGCAUUAGGUUGUCGUGCAGGGGAUGCCCAUCAUUUACUGUGAAAAAAUUAGAGUGUUCAAAGCAGGCUUAUGCCGUUGAAUAUAUUAGCAUGGAAUAAUGAGAUAGGACUUUUUUGCUAUUUUGUUGGUUUGCGCAAGAAGGUAAUGAUUAAUAGGGACAGUUGGGGGUAUUCGUAUUCCAUUGUCAGAGGUGAAAUUCUUGGAUUUUUGGAAGACGGACUACUGCGAAAGCAUUUACCAAGGAUGUUUUCAUUAA